rnacentral:rRNA from 1 species
GUGUCAGCCGCCGCGGUAAUACGUAGGGUGCAAGCGUUAAUCGGAAUUACUGGGCGUAAAGGGUGCGCAGGCGGCUUGGAAAGAAGGGUGUGAAAUCCCGGGGCUUAACCUCGGAACUGCACUUUUAACUGCCAAGCUAGAGUAUGUCAGAGGGGGGUAGAAUUCCACGUGUAGCAGUGAAAUGCGUAGAUAUGUGGAGGAAUACCGAUGGCGAAGGCAGCCCCCUGGGAUAAUACUGACGCUCAUGCACGAAAGCGUGGGGAGCAAACAGGAUUAGAUACCCUGGUAGUCCACGCCCUAAACGAUGUCAACUAGCUGUUGGGGUCAAUAGGCCUUAGUAGCGCAGCUAACGCGUGAAGUUGACCGCCUGGGGAGUACGGUCGCAAGAUUAAA